rnacentral:other from 1 species
CAUGAGCCUCCUCCUAAGUGCCCAAUAAGUCCUCAUCUGCAAGCAGGCCAUGUUCGCCACCUUAUGUGGCUAAAGAAAAUUUAAGGAAGUAUCUAUGUCUAAUAAAAUGACUGGUUUAGUAAAAUGGUUUAACUCUGAAAAAGGCUUCGGCUUCAUUACGCCAGCAGAUGGCAGCAAAGAUGUAUUCGUACAUUUCUCAGCCAUCCAGAGUAACGAUUACAAAACGCUGGACGAAGGGCAGAAGGUUGAGUUCUCGAUUGAGAAUGGUGCUAAAGGUCCGGCAGCUGCUAACGUUAUCACGCUGUAAUAGCUGAUAAUGACAUGAACACUUA